rnacentral:pre_miRNA from 1 species
AUUUGAGGUUUCCUCGGCAGAUAACUGCAGCCGGUUUCAUAAUUCGGUAGUUAACUGUCGAGGGGUAU